UUGACCUCGGAUCAGGUAGGAAUACCCGCUGAACUUAAGCAUAUCAAUAAGCGGAGGAAAAGAAACCAACAGGGAUUGCCCUAGUAACGGCGAGUGAAGCGGCAACAGCUCAAAUUUGAAAUCUGGCUCUCGGGCCCGAGUUGUAAUUUGUAGAGGAUGCUUUUGGCAAGGUGCCUUCCGAGUUCCCUGGAACGGGACGCCAUAGAGGGUGAGAGCCCCGUCUGGUUGGA
rnacentral:rRNA from 1 species